rnacentral:rRNA from 1 species
UACGAAGGGGGCUAGCGUUGCUCGGAAUCACUGGGCGUAAAGGGUGCGUGGGCGGGUCUUUAAGUCAGGGGUGAAAUCCUGGAGCUCAACUCCAGAACUGCCUUCGAUACUGGAAGACUUGAGUCCGGGAGAGGUGAGUGGAACUGCGAGUGUAGAGGUGAAAUUCGUAGAUAUUCGCAAGAACACCAGUGGCGAAGGCGGCUCACUGGCCCGGUACUGACGCUGAGGUGCGAAAGCGUGGGGAGCAAACAGG